AGUGGCGGACGGGUGAGUAACGCGUGAGAAUCUGCCUUGGGGUCGGGGACAACCACUGGAAACGGUGGCUAAUACCGGAUACGCCUUCGGGUAAAAGAUUUAUUGCCCUAAGAGGAGCUCGCGUCUGAUUAGCUAGUUGGUGAGGUAAGAGCUCACCAAGGCAGCGAUCAGUAGCUGGUCUGAGAGGACGAUCAGCCACACUGGGACUGAGACACGGCCCAGACUCCUACGGGAGGCAGCAGUGGGGAAUUUUCCGCAAUGGGCGAAAGCCUGACGGAGCAAGACCGCGUGAGGGAAGAAGGCUCUUGGGUUGUAAACCUCUUUUCUCAGGGAAGAAGCUCUGACGGUACCUGAGGAAUCAGCCUCGGCUAACUCCGUGCCAGCAGCCGCGGUAAUACGGAGGAGGCAAGCGUUAUCCGGAAUUAUUGGGCGUAAAGCGUCCGCAGGUGGCGAUUCAAGUCUGCUGUCAAAGCACGGGGCUUAACUCCGUAAAGGCAGUGGAAACUGAAUAGCUAGAGUGCCGUAGGGGUAGAGGGAAUUCCCGGUGUAGCGGUGAAAUGCGUAGAGAUCGGGAAGAACAUCGGUGGCGAAAGCGCUCUACUGGACGGCAACUGACACUCAGGGACGAAAGCUAGGGGAGCGAAUGGGAUUAGAUACCCC
rnacentral:rRNA from 1 species